rnacentral:rRNA from 1 species
GACAGAGGCCCCAAGCGUUAGGCGGAAUCACUGGGCUUAAAGCGUGUGUAGGCGGACUUGUAAGUAUCUUGUGAAAUCCCACGGCUCACCCGUGGAACUGCUGGGUAUACUGCGAGUCUUGAGUCGUGCAGGGCAGCCGGAACAAGCGGUGGAGCGGUGAAAUGCGUAGAUAUCGAGAGGAACACCUGCGGCGAAGGCGGGUUGCUGGGCUGACACUGACGCUGAUGCGCGAAAGCUAGGGGAGCGAACGGG